AUUGAACGCUGGCGGCAUGCCUUACACAUGCAAGUCGAACGGCAGCGGACCUUCGGGUGCCGGCGAGUGGCGAACGGGUGAGUAAUGUAUCGGAACGUACCUUUCAGGGGGGGAUAACGUAGCGAAAGUUACGCUAAUACCGCAUAUUCUGUGAGCAGGAAAGCAGGGGAUCGCAAGACCUUGCGCAGAUUGAGCGGCCGAUAUCAGAUUAGCUAGUUGGUGAGGUAAAGGCUCACCAAGGCGACGAUCUGUAGCGGGUCUGAGAGGAUGAUCCGCCACACUGGAACUGAGACACGGUCCAGACUCCUACGGGAGGCAGCAGUGGGGAAUUUUGGACAAUGGGGGCAACCCUGAUCCAGCCAUGCCGCGUGAGUGAAGAAGGCCUUCGGGUUGUAAAGCUCUUUCGUCCGGGAAGAAAUCGCAUCAGCUAAUACCUGGUGUGGAUGACGGUACCGGAAUAAGAAGCACCGGCUAACUACGUGCCAGCCGCCGCGGUAAAAC
rnacentral:rRNA from 1 species